GUUUCCUUGGUGGGUUCGCCCACCACUAGGACAAACAUAAACCUUUUGUAAUUGCAAUCAGCGUCAGUAACAAAUUAAUAAUUACAACUUUCAACAACGGAUCUCUUGGUUCUGGCAUCGAUGAAGAACGCAGCGAAAUGCGAUAAGUAGUGUGAAUUGCAGAAUUCAGUGAAUCAUCGAAUCUUUGAACGCACAUUGCGCCCUUUGGUAUUCCAAAGGGCAUGCCUGUUCGAGCGUCAUUUGUACCCUCAAGCUUUGCUUGGUGUUGGGCGUCUUGUCUCUAGCUUUGCUGGAGACUCGCCUUAAAGUAAUUGGCAGCCGGCCUACUGGUUUCGGAGCGCAGCACAAGUCGCACUCUCUAUCAGCAAAGGUCUAGCAUCCAUUAAGCCUUUUUUUCAACUUUUGACCUCGGAUCAGGUAGGGAUACCCGCUGA
rnacentral:rRNA from 1 species